AACGAACGCUGGCGGCAGGCUUAACACAUGCAAGUCGAGCGCCCCGCAAGGGGAGCGGCAGACGGGUGAGUAACACGUGGGAACGUACCCUUUACUACGGAAUAACGCAGGGAAACUUGUGCUAAUACCGUAUGUGCCCUUUUGGGGAAAGAUUUAUCGGUAAGGGAUCGGCCCGCGUUGGAUUAGCUAGUUGGUGGGGUAAAGGCCCACCAAGGCGACGAUCCAUAGCUGGUCUGAGAGGAUGAUCAGCCACAUUGGGACUGAGACACGGCCCAAACUCCUACGGGAGGCAGCAGUGGGGAAUAUUGGACAAUGGGCGCAAGCCUGAUCCAGCCAUGCCGCGUGAGUGAUGAAGGCCUUAGGGUUGUAAAGCUCUUUCACCGGAGAAGAUAAUGACGGUAUCCGGAGAAGAAGCCCCGGCUAACUUCGUGCCAGCCGCCGCGGUAAAAC
rnacentral:rRNA from 1 species